ncrna:Cupriavidus taiwanensis LMG 19424 NMT1 RNA
GGCAAGAGUAGAAGCGUUCACCAGCCGCGCGCCAGAUCGAUGCGCAUGGCGGCUGGCCGGGAAUUGCUCUUGAA